rnacentral:tRNA from 1 species
AGAAAGUUAGUUUAAUGAAAAUGUAAGUUUGUCGUUCUUAUGAUGCUAUUUUUUAGUACUUUUUG